ACGGGAGGCAGCAGCUAAGAAUAUUCCGCAAUGGACGAAGGUCUGACCGAGCAACGCCGCGUGAGUGAAGAAGGUUUUCGGAUCGUAAAACUCUGUUGUUAGAGAAGAACGUUGCAUAGAGUGGAAAAUUAUGCAAGUGACGGUAUCUAACCAGAAAGGGACGGCUAACUACGUGCCAGCAGCCGCGGUAAUACGUAGGUCCCGAGCGUUGUCCGGAUUUAUUGGGCGUAAAGCGAGCGCAGGUGGUUCAAUAAGUCUGAUGUAAAAGGCAGUGGCUCAACCAUUGUGUGCAUUGGAAACUGUUAGACUUGAGUGCAGUAGAGGAGAGUGGAAUUCCAUGUGUAGCGGUGAAACGCGUAGAUAUAUGGAGGAACACCGGUGGCGAAAGCGGCUCUCUGGACUGUCACUGACACUGAGGCUCGAAAGCGUGGGUAGCAAACAGGAUUAGAUACCCUGGUA
rnacentral:rRNA from 1 species